UUCCAGACUCCUACGGGAGGCAGCAGUGGGGAAUAUUGGGCAAUGGGCGCAAGCCUGACCCAGCAACGCCGCGUGAAGGAAGAAGGCUUUCGGGUUGUAAACUUCUUUUGUCAGGGACGAAGCGAGUGACGGUACCUGACGAAUAAGCCACGGCUAACUACGUGCCAGCAGCCGCGGUAAUACGUAGGUGGCAAGCGUUGUCCGGAUUUACUGGGUGUAAAGGGCGUGUAGCCGGGCUGACAAGUCAGAUGUGAAAUCCGGGGGCUCAACCCCCGGACUGCAUUUGAAACUGUUGGUCUUGAGUAUCGGAGAGGCAGGCGGAAUUCCUAGUGUAGCGGUGAAAUGCGUAGAUAUUAGGAGGAACACCAGUGGCGAAGGCGGCCUGCUGGACGACAACUGACGGUGAGGCGCGAAAGCGUGGGGAGCAAACAGGAUUAGAUACCCUUGUAUAC
rnacentral:rRNA from 1 species